rnacentral:rRNA from 1 species
GACGUAGGGCGCGAGCGUUGUCCGGAUUUAUUGGGCGUAAAGAGCUCGUAGGCGGCUUGUUGCGUCGACCGUGAAAACCCGGGGCUCAACUUCGGGCUUGCGGUCGAUACGGGCGGGCUAGAGUUCGGUAGGGGAGACUGGAAUUCCUGGUGUAGCGGUGAAAUGCGCAGAUAUCAGGAGGAACACCGGUGGCGAAGGCGGCAUUCUGGACUACAACUGACACUGAGGAACGAAAGCCAGGGGAGCAAACGGG